GGUGCCUGCCUGUCCGCCCGCCGUCCCCGCGGCCCCGCGCAGCCCGCCCGGCGGGGGAGGCGCCGCGCACCGGGACGAUGGUCUGCAGGGCUGUGUUCGCGCUCUGCGUCCUCGCGGCAGUUGUAUCAGAAAAGCAAGCUACAGACUGAAUGUACAUCGUGAUGAAAUAUUUAAGACAUAUUUAUGUGCGUGCCUGUAGAGAAAAUCAUUUAGAAGAAUACGGUGGUUAUUUCUGGCAGUGACUUUUGUGCAAAUGGAUCAUCAGAAUGGCCUCUGCUGAGCCAGAUGCUGGGCGUACAGAUGCAUCAGGAGAGAGCUGGGGGACCAGCCGGAUCGCCGUUGGUGGGCUGCAGAGGCCUCCCGGGCGUGCAGAGGCCAUGGGCUGACCUUCCUGCGAGAGAGGGACACGGAUUGUCAGCGAGGAUUGUCCUCCAACUUGUGCUUUGCUGUGUGCCAUUCAGCCCUUUCUCCUCCUUCCCCUUCCCCGCCUUCCACCGUGAAACCUCUGUAUGGUUUCCCACGACUGCCUGGGGGAGUGGGUCUCCCCUUGGAUAGCUUUGGAGCGUGAAGAGUCCAGCUCUGAAAGUAAUGAGCAAAAGCUGCCCUUAUUUGUGAUACUCAGAACACUGAACAUAAUCACAAAAACGUGACCACAUAAUGAAAAGGACGCGUCACCUCUGCAAAUUCUCUGUCAUAAAUAAAUAAAUAAGUAAACAAAUAAAUAAAUA